rnacentral:rRNA from 2 species
UUUCUAUCUACAAUGUUCAAUCCCAACUUUUCUGAGUCCUAGUACGCAAGGAAUGGUCUCAGCGAUGCUCGACUAUAUUGGCCCCAUCGACGUAAUCAACUUCUGGCUGCUGCAAAGAAGGAGAGACAAAAGGUUUAGGGAUUAAUAAGGU